CUCUGUGACUCCUACGGGAGGCAGCAGUGGGGGAAUAUUGCACAAUGGGCGCAAGCCUGAUGCAGCCAUGCCGCGUGUAUGAAGAAGGCCUUCGGGUUGUAAAGUACGUUUUCAGCAGUGAGGAAGGCGGAGUCGUUAAUAGCGGCCUCGUUUGACGUUAGCUGCAGAAGAAGCACCGGCUAACUCCGUGCCAGCAGCCGCGGUAAUACGGAGGGUGCGAGCGUUAAUCGGAAUUACUGGGCGUAAAGCGCAUGCAGGUGGUUUGUUAAGUCAGAUGUGAAAGCCCGGGGCUCAACCUCGGAAUUGCAUUUGAAACUGGCAGACUAGAGUACUGUAGAGGGGGUAGAAUUUCAGGUGUAGCGGUGAAAUGCGUAGAGAUCUGAAGGAAUACCGGUGGCGAAGGCGGCCCCCUGGACAGAUACUGACACUCAGAUGCGAAAGCGUGGGGAGCAAACAGGAUUAGAUACCCUGGUAG
rnacentral:rRNA from 1 species